AGAACACACAGAAAAAGGCCACAUAUCGUUUUCCAACUCAAGGACAAGAAAGUGGUGGACACUUCACUCAGACUUGUGGAGUACAAGAAUGCGUCGGCUGGAAAAUACGCGUCUGCAGAUCGCCCAGGCACGCGGGC